UACGUAGGGUCCGAGCGUUGUCCGGAAUUAUUGGGCGUAAAGGGCUCGUAGGCGGUUUGUCACGUCGGGAGUGAAAACUCAGGGCUCAACCCUGAGCGUGCUUCCGAUACGGGCAGACUAGAGGUAUGCAGGGGAGAACGGAAUUCCUGGUGUAGCGGUGAAAUGCGCAGAUAUCAGGAGGAACACCGGUGGCGAAGGCGGUUCUCUGGGCAUUACCUGACGCUGAGGAGCGAAAGUGUGGGGAGCGAACAGG
rnacentral:rRNA from 1 species